GACGAACGCUGGCGGCGUGCCUAAUACAUGCAAGUCGAGCGAAUGGAUUAAGAGCUUGCUCUUAUGAAGUUAGCGGCGGACGGGUGAGUAACACGUGGGUAACCUGCCCAUAAGACUGGGAUAACUCCGGGAAACCGGGGCUAAUACCGGAUAACAUUUUGAACCGCAUGGUUCGAAAUUGAAAGGCGGCUUCGGCUGUCACUUAUGGAUGGACCCGCGUCGCAUUAGCUAGUUGGUGAGGUAACGGCUCACCAAGGCAACGAUGCGUAGCCGACCAGAGAGGGUGAGCGGCCACACUGGGACAGAGACACGGCCCAGAUUCCUACGGGAGGCAGCAGUAGGGAAUCUUCCGCAAUGGACGAAAGUCUGACGGAGCAACGCCGCGUGAGUGAUGAAGGCUUUCGGGUCGUAAAACUCUGUUGUUAGGGAAGAACAAGUGCUAGUUGAAUAAGCUGGCACCUUGACGGUACCUAACCAGAAAGCCACGGCUAACUACGUGCCAGCAGCCGCAGUAA
rnacentral:rRNA from 1 species